AUUUUUUUCAUUCGGACGUGUUCAUGGACGAUUUCUUGUAAAAUUGUGUGAUAGGAUUGAGUUUCUCGUAUCAUCAGAUUCGCACGAUAUGAUACUAAUGCUGAAUGCUCCUGCGAAAUUUACCGCAAACUUUUGUGCAGGACCAGGUUGUAUGAUUGUUGGAGUAUCAGCUAGAGGAUGUAGCCGUCGUUAUCUGUAUUGCAAUGGUUACCAUGUCCGCGUUGUACUGUCCAAAUGGCAAAUUAAUAGCCACUAAUUCGUCCAACAGAACAAUUUUUGUAUGGAAACAUUUUCAUUUACAUCUUUCAGACAACGUCUGUGGCAAUUUGGCAUCAAUGAUUUUUCAGCAAUAUCGUAUCAAAAACUGUUGCAGAUCAAUGCUUGAUUGGCUAAUUCCGCUACAUUCUAGAGCGAGGAGGUCUGAAGAAAAUUUUCACCGACUAUAACCGGCUAGAUCAGACAGAUCUAGCCGAAAUACAAAAGCCCCGAUGAAGAUUUCGCCGCUCGCCCAACAAUAAAAUUGCAUUGGCAAAGCGAGCUGUAUAAUGUGAUGAGGAUUUUUAUGCUAUUGUCAUUUACUUCUAGAUGCCAUUGAUAUAAGUUACUAUUUGAAUAUUACCAUUGAAGCUGUUAAUUUUCGGUGACAAAGAUCAUCCUUUGCUUUUUAUAAAUCAAACGAGUCGGCAAUCUCUUUUAUGAAUAUAGAAAACGUGCCAUGGGUCAGUGAAACUAUGUAGCUCUUGCAUGUUGGUAGCGAGGAUUUAACC